rnacentral:rRNA from 2 species
UACGGGGGGAGCAAGCGUUGUUCGGAUUUACUGGGCGUAAAGGGCGCGUAGGCGGUCAGCACAAGUCAGUUGUGAAAUCUCCGGGCUUAACUCGGAAAGGUCAACUGAUACUGUGCGACUAGAGUGCAGAAGGGGCAACUGGAAUUCUCGGUGUAGCGGUGAAAUGCGUAGAUAUCGAGAGGAACACCAGUGGCGAAGGCGACCACCUGGACUGAUACUGACACUGAGGUGCGAAAGCGUGGGGAGCAAACAGG